UAACAGGCCAUGGAUGACGUCACGCACGCGCGAACGUCUCGGGGAACGCCUCCGUCACGUGAUAUUCGGCGCAUUCUUCAAAAGGCGGAGAAGAACCCUGCCACAGUGCUCCACUGAAUGAAGGAGGGCGCGCUUACUAUAAAUCCGGCCCUGACUACACGCAGGACACAAAAUAUUCCCCAGACCCUGCGCUGGAUCUGGGUCACAGUCCACAGAAGCGAUUGCGCCUCCAUCUCCCCGGCUCUGAUUAAAGUCUGUCCAACUGCUGCCUGGCACCUGAUCCCACACUCCGUGCCGAGCUGGCUUUGCAAUGGCGUGCGACGGCUUCUGGUCUUCCUGCUGUCUGUGCCUCCAGAGCAUCUACAGCUGUCACUGUAGGAAAAAUAGAAGAGGCAAGCUUAAAGGCACCAAGGGAACCAAGCAAUCAAAUUCGAGCUACAGCUGACGGCUGAGGAGGGAGAAGCUGGAACCCGGGACGGAUGGCUGAGGAUUGAGGAGCGAGGACCCAUGUCAGAUGGCUGAGGAGCGAGGACCCAGGUCGGAUGGCUGACGUAGGAGGAGUGAGGAGCGAGGAUCCAGGUCGGAUGGCCGAGGAGGGAGGAGCAGGACCUGAAGGAGGAGCGAGGUGUGACGUCUGCUUUGAGGAGGGGUGAGUGGAAAAGUAGGCAACGUUGCUUUCCUCUAGCAUAGGAGAUUGCACACAGGAGAUGGAUUUCCCCUGACGAUGUCCUAAUAUGCGUUCCCCUAAGUUUGCUCAUAGUCUGUACAAAGAGAUCCCAUAAAACUAUGGCAGCAUAGGUAUUCCCCUGUACUAAGCACAAUUCAGCAGGAACAGUCCCUAAGUUUGUUUAUUGCCUGUACAAAGACAUUCCAUAAAUGAAUACCAGCAUUUCCCUGUACCAUAGAGCAGGAAGGUCUGAGGGUAGUUCUUUAAAGAAUGUAUCAAUAGUUUACUAUGAAAAUGUAUACCUGGUGGAGUAUGCAGUGCCACAUGAAAAUAAAACUGAGUAACAAAUGAAAUGUAUUAAUUUUGUAUAUAUAAUCCUUGUAUUUUACACUAGUAACCAAAAUUUGCACAAAUUCUUUUUUUAGCGCACAUAGCCUAAUAUUGUCUCCCAGGUACCCAGGCUACCUCCAACCCAACUGGCAGCAGUCACUUGGACUGAGGGAAAUGCAGACACUAUUUGCCCACCAACCCUAGAACCCUGUGGCAGACCGCAAAAUUCCAUCUAAGGGGCCCCGCCAAAAUGGUUCAAAUUCGGCCCCGCAGUUAUUAAGACCAGCCCUGCAGGCAGGUAUUCGAACCUCCCGGACUCCAGGAAUUUGGCUGAUAGAAAUUGGUGUCUGGUUGCUGUCAGGGCUGCUCUGCAAAUUCCCCCUCUUCUCCCCUGAACUGAUAAGUGCAGCAGUACAAUGGUAAGCCUUUUUUAUUACUUGUACUGCCUGCUGGCACUAAACCCCCCCAACUCUUCCCUUAACUCAUUUCUUACACACAUUGACUAUUAAAUCUUCCUUGCCUUCUGUGAAUCUGUCACUGCUAUGAUUUCUGGGGGUAUUUAUAUAUGAUAUGACACCCUCUAUGACUUCUGAGGGUAUUUAUACAUGAUAUGGCCUCUGUGCCACAGUGCUACGGGUUCUGGGGGUAUUUAUACAUGUAAACCCUGAUUUAGUCCUGAUUUUCAUCCUGAGUUAGUGGGGACGUGGCAUUAAAAUUUCUUGGUUCCUGUGGCUUUCUAAUGUGAACUUGGCUACACAAGCCACACAUACCAACCCUUCACAUUUUUGUUCCUUAUUCAAGCACUGUAGAGACCAAUUUCUAUUUUGUGACCCACAGACAAUGUAACAGUCGGCCAACAUAGCACCACACUUUUUCCACCUGUUGUUUGUUCCUUCCAAGACUCAGGGUUGUGUGCAAUGGGCUCAGCAGAGUGAGGGCUCUCUCCUUUUGCUCAGUCGUCCUUGCCAUUACACACACACACUGAAUCUCUAGGCCGCUUGGCAUCUCUCCCUGAGUCUGGGGAUUCUCAGGAUCCUACAAGGAAAAUAGGCCGGGCUUAGAAUACCUUACAUUGCUUUUUCAGUUCAAGUGCAACUUUGCAGUGAAAGCUAUUUACACAGUUUCAGAUUUAUACCAGGUAGAGCCAACCUUUGCUUGGUAAGAGUAGAGCAAAUGUAAGGCUCUUUCGGUAUUCUGAAAAGUGGGUAAUAAGGCAUAUUAUAUACAUCUGUUUUGAUUCUAGUAUGGGCUGCAGGGUUGAAUCAGGGAGCUGUGUAGAAUUAUUUAGGACUGUGUUUUGGAGUGGCUGUUUACAAAUAAAGUUUUGUCUGUACAUAAACAGUAAGAGAUGAUCUGAGUAGGUAUAAUGCACUUUAUAAAUAUCGAACAACAGUUUGAAGGAUCCAAACUGGGCAGAGGAAUUUUGCACACAAGCUAAGGGAUAUUAUCUGCACUAUGAGCCUCUCACAGUCCCACCACACCAUUACCCCGGGGUCUAAAAGUUAGUGGAGGACACAGACCGGUGGACAGAGGAGCGUGAGGAUAAACAAGGAACUGGUAUGAUUAUUAGCUACUCAGAUACACUGCUGCUGCGCUUACUUCAGCAAACAUUAUCUCUGGCAUUAUGACCAGGUUUGCUGACCCCUUUCUACAAACAGUUGCACCUGGGCAGGUGAUUCUGCUGCCUACUCCUAGUUCCGGCCCGGGAAGGGGCUGAGGUAGUGCAGAGGUUGGGGGGUCAUUAUAUGUGAAUAUUCAAUGAAAUGUAUUUUUUAUGGAAGAUGUAUGAGAGACGUAUAACAAAACUGUUUUAGAAUAGUAUAAAAAAGAGUGUAGGGUCUCACCUCUU